AGAGAGAGUUAAAAGGGUGUGAACCGUUUAGAAGGAAACGGAUAGAGCCGUCGAUAUGAUUAAUGAGAAUCAGUUAAUUUGAAUAAAUGUCAAUCUAGUAGCGUUUUUAGAUUUAACUUUUUACCGAGUUAAACUAGAGCGUUCUAUUGCGUUUGUUUAAUUGACGCAUUUCUCGUUAAUUUGCACUGCAACCGAUACAAGUAGUCAACAAAAUUUGAAUGGAAAUUGAAGCAAAAAUUGAAACUCGCGUUUGGAUUUGGAUGCUAAUUUUGUUUAAAAGUGGAACGAACGUAUCGUUAAUUCGUAUAUAGCUGAAUAAUACGUUUGCGUUGGCCGAUGAAAAUGCUGGGUCGGCAAUCGAUCAAUUGUGUAGGAUUGGCAAUUUCGUCUCUGAAUGCAUUUGUUUAAUUUUUAUAAUUGAACAAUGUGUUUUAAAGUUGUCAGUCAUAGAUUAUGUUGGCGAUUGUUAUUUAUACGCAAAUUCGAUUAGCGGUGUCAGCGUCGGUCACCUAUCCGACCCGUCUUGAAACACGGACCAAGGAGUCUAACAUAUACGCGAGUUAUAGACUAAUUUGUAUUUGUAUAAUAAAGUCUAAAGCGAAAUAAAAGUAAAAGUUGACAUUUCGUUGACUAAGGUAUGAUUUUGGCGUGCUUUUAUUUAAGUAAAAGUAUUCAAACGCAAUACUGUCCCGUUUAAUUUGCUUUUCGUUUUUGUCAAGAGUCAAAUUUUGGCAUUACGAGAAUGACAAGUAAGCGGAGAAAGAGCGUAUACGUUGGUACCCGAAAGAUGGUGAACUAUGCCUGAGCAGAGCGAAGUCAGAGGAAACUCUGAUGGAGGUUCGUAGCGGUUCUGACGUGCAAAUCGAUCGUCAGACUUGGGUAUAGGGGCGAAAGACUAAUCGAACCAUCUAGUAG
rnacentral:rRNA from 1 species